UUCUCCCCAUCCACCCAAUGCCUGCCGGCGGAAGUGGAGCUGCUGCCUCAGGCGGUAGCCGAGUGGUGGAGCGAAGACGACGGCUGCAUCUGGCUCACGCCGCCGCCGCCUACUGCCAUUGCUCUUGCUUCCACCAUCGAGGAAAUCAAAGAGAGAGGUCGGGAUGUUGAGCCUAAUGUGCAAUUAACACCAGCAGCAGCUCGCUUUGAUAUAAGCUCGCCUA